rnacentral:lncRNA from 1 species
GUGGGUUGGCGCGGCCUUGCGGCGACGCUUCUUUGCUGGAUGGAAAUCCGGUGACUUUCUUUUUCUUUUGCUUUUCAGCUCGAUCUUUGCCCUCUUCUAGGGUUCAUAUCGGGGAGGGGAAACUUUAUCGCUUUCGUUAUCUUCUUGCAACCGGAACAACAUCUAAAGCCUCAUGGCUCUGAUACCAUUGAUAGAUCAUGUGGAUCGACAAGGCUAGAUGUGUUCGAUGAGAGUCGAGGUAUGUUACCUUAUGGAGUACUCGAUGAGUUCCCUCCGGCGACCGUUGUGAGAUGGGGACGAAGGUGGGGAAGGAGAGAGAGAUCCAGUAGUGGCAGUGAUGGACUUCACAUCGCUUCAGUGCUACCCUCUGGAUCGGAUUAGGGUUAGGAGUGAGGAACCAGUGGCGGCGGCGAACCUCGUAGUCUGUGCCAUGGUCCUCACCUCUUCUACAUAUAGCACUGCGCGACAGGGGCCCAUCAGCCUUGCUUGGGAUGGACGCCCCCGAUCAGGGCGUGAGUCAAGGUCCAAUGGGCCGUUGGGCCACUUGGGAAAGAGAUCAAUCUAACACUCGGCACCUCGAAGAUGUGAAUGAUGCUUUCAAACACAAUUGUAUGAUGGCCAGUCAUCUCAACCUGUGAAGUAUGGUAAUGAUUUCAUCGAACAAAUGGAGCUCAAGCAUGUCCAAUCAUCCUGACACUACCCUUGAACAGUUGUACUGACCAGUUCUUGAUCUUAUGCAGAAUAGUCUACAGGACAGACCUCUUCUUUCCGCUAAGAUAUUAAGAACUCCUGAUGUCUCACAGACCUAUGCUGAUGUUGAUUUGUCACAUACACGAAACAUUGAAGGGAAGACGUCGGGCAGAAAAAUUGCAAGUGCGGUGGUGCAUGUGUGCUUUACUUGACUGUACA